ensembl:snRNA U6 U6 spliceosomal RNA
GUGCUUGUUUCAGCAGCACGUAUACUAAAAUUUGUGUGAUACACAGAAGACUAACAUAACCCAUGUGUAAGGAUGACAUGCAAAUUUGUGAAGAAUUUCAUGUUUUU